rnacentral:rRNA from 1 species
GAUGAACGCUAGCUACAUGCUUAACACAUGCAAGUCGAGGGACCGGCGCACGGGUGAGUAACACGUAUCCAACCUGCCCUUUACUCGGGGAUAGCCUUUCGACAGAAAGAUUAAUACCCUAUAUAAAGGAUGGGGAUGCGUUCCAUUGGGUUGUUGGUGAGGUAACGGCUCACCAAGACGUCGAUGGAGAGGGGUUCGGUGAGGAAGGUCCCCCAGAGUGGAACUGGGACACGGUCCAAACUCCUACGAGAGGCAGCAGUGAGGAAUAUUGGUCAAUGGGCGGUAGCCUGAACCAGCCAAGUAGCGUGAAGGAUGAAGGCUUAUGGGUCGUAAACUUCUUUUAUAUAAGAAUCGGUAUUAUAUGAAUAAGGAUCGGCUAACUCCGUGCCAGCAGCCGCGGUAAUUC